rnacentral:lncRNA from 1 species
AUGGCACCAGACUUGGCGGGCGUCCUCCGUGUGCCAAAAAUAGGCCACGGGCACAGCCGCGCCCAAUAAACAGCCCCCGAAGUUCGGGGUCCCAUGAUCCCCCAGCGGAAAAAUGGCCAAAAAACGGGUGGGCUAUAGCCUUGGUGGGGGGCGUGGGCGAAGUUCGUCCGCGGGACUCGGAAUGGCACCAGACUUGGCGGGCGGCCUCCGUGUGCCAAAAAUAGGCCACGGGCACAGCCGCGCCCAAAAAACAGCCCCCGAAGUUUGGGGUCCCAAGACCCUCCAGCGGAAAAAUGGCCAAAAAACGGUGGGCUAUAGCCUUGGUGGGGUGCGUGGACGAAGUUCGUCCGCGGGACUCGGAAUGGCACCAGACUUGGCGGGCGGCCUCCGUGUGCCAAAAAUAGGCCACGGGCACAGCCGCGCCCAAAAAACAGCCCCCGAAGUUCGGGGUCCCAAGACCCCCCAGCGGAAAAAUGGCCAAAAAACGGGUGGGCUAUAGCCUUGGUGGGGGGCGUGGGCGAAGUUCGUCCGCGGGACUCGGAAUGGCACUAGACUUGGCGGGCGGCCUCCGUGUGCCAAAAAUAGGCCACGGGCACAGCCGCGCCCAAAAAACAGCCCCCGAAGUUCGGGGUCCCAAGACCCCCCAGCGGAAAAAUGGCCAAAAAACGGGUGGGCUAUAGCCUUGGUGGGGGGCGUGGGCGAAGUUCGUCCGCGGGACUCGGAAUGGCACCAGACUUGGCGGGCGGCCUCCGUGUGCCAAAAAUAGGCCACGGGCACAGCCGCGCUCAAAAAACAGCCCCCGAAGUUCGGGGUCCCAAGACCCCCCAGCGGAAAAAUGGCCAAAAAACGGGUGGGCUAUAGCCUUGGUGGGGGGCGUGGGCGAAGUUCGUCCGCGGAACUCGGAAAGGCACCAGACCUGGCGGGCGGCCUCCGUGUGCCAAAAAUAGGCCACGGGCACAGCCGCGCCCAAAAAACAGCCCCCGAAGUUCGGGGUCCCAAGACCCCCCAGCGGAAAAAUGGCCAAAAAACGGUGGGCUAUAGCCUUGGUGGGGGGCGUGGGCGAAGUUCGUCCGUGGGACUCGGAAUGGCACCAGACUUGGCGGGCGGCCUCCGUGUGCCAAAAAUAGGCCACGGGCACAGCCGCGCCCAAAAAACAGCCCCCGAAGUUCGGGGUCCCAAGACCCCCCAGCGGAAAAAUGGCCAAAAAACGGUGGGCUAUAGCCUUGGUGGGGUGCGUGGGCGAAGUUCGUCCGCGGGACUCGGAAUGGCACCAGACUUGGCGGGCGGCCUCCGUGUGCCAAAAAUAGGCCACGGGCACAGCCGCGCCCAAAAAACAGCCCCCGAAGUUCGGGGUCCCAAGACCCCCCAGCGGAAAAAUAGCCAAAAAACGGUGGGCUAUAGCCUUGGUGGGGGGCGUGGGCGAAGUUCGUCCGUGGGACUCGGAAUGGCACCAGACUUGGCGGGCGGCCUCCGUGUGCCAAAAAUAGGCCACGGGCACAGCCGCGCCCAAAAAACAGCCCCCGAAGUUCGGGGUCCCAAGACCCCCCAGCGGAAAAAUGGCCAAAAAACGGGUGGGCUAUAGCCUUGGUGGGGGGCGUGGGCGAAGUUCGUCCGCGGGACUCGGAAUGGUACCAGACAUGGCGGGCGGCCUCCGUGUGCCAAAAAUAGGCCACGGGCACAGCCGCGCCCAAAAAACAGCCCCCGAAGUUCGGGGUCCCAAGACCCCCCAGCGGAAAAAUGGCCAAAAAACGGGUGGGCUAUAGCCUUGGUGGGGGGCGUGGGCGAAGUUCGUCCGCGGGACUCGGAAUGGCACCAGACUUGGCGGGCGGCCUCCGUGUGCCAAAAAUAGGCCACGGGCACAGCCGCGCCCAAAAAACAGCCCCUGAAGUUCGGGGUCCCAAGACCCCCCAGCGGAAAAAUGGCCAAAAAACGGGUGGGCUAUAGCCUUGGUGGGGUGCGUGGGCGAAGUUCGUCCGCGGGACUCGGAAUGGCACCAGACUUGCCGGGCGGCCUCCGUGUGCCAAAAAUAGGCCACGGGCACAGCCGCGCCCAAAAAACAGCCCCCGAAGUUCGGGGUCCCUAGACCCCCCAGCGGAAAAAUGGCCAAAAAACGGUGGGCUAUAGCCUUGGUGGGGGGCGUGGGCGAAGUUCGUCCGCGGGACUCGGAAUGGCACCAGACUUGGCGGGCGGCCUCCGUGUGCCAAAAAUAGGCCACGGGCACAGCCGCGCCCAAAAAACAGCCCCCGAAGUUCGGGGUCCCAAGACCCCCCAGCGGAAAAAUGGCCAAAAAACGGGUGGGCUAUAGCCUUGGUGGGGGGCGUGGGCGAAGUUCGUCCGCGGGACUCGGAAUGGCACCAGACUUGGCGGGCGGCCUCCGUGUGCCAAAAAUAGGCCACGGGCACAGCCGCGGCCAAAAAACAGCCCCCGAAGUUCGGGGUCCCAAGACCCCCCAGCGGAAAAAUGGCCAAAAAACGGGUGGGCUAUAGCCUUGGUGGGGGGCGUGGGCGAAGUUCGUCCGCGGGACUCGGAAUGGCACCAGACUUGGCGGGCGGCCUCCGUGUGCCAAAAAUAGGCCACGGGCACAGCCGCGCCCAAAAAACAAUCCCCGAAGUUCGGGGUCCCAAGACCCCCCAGCGGAAAAAUGGCCAAAAAACGGGUGGGCUAUAGCCUUGGUGGGGGGCGUGGGCGAAGUUCGUCCGCGGGACUCGGAAUGGCACCAGACUUUGCGGGCGGCCUCCGUGUGCCAAAAAUAGGCCACGGGCACAGCCGCGCCCAAAAAACAGCCCCCGAAGUUCGGGGUCCCAAGACCCCCUAGCGGAAAA